rnacentral:rRNA from 1 species
CCUACGGGUGGCUGCAGUGGGGAAUAUUGCACAAUGGGCGCAAGCCUGAUGCAGCCAUGCCGCGUGUGUGAAGAAGGCCUUCGGGUUGUAAAGCACUUUCAGCGGGGAGGAAGGCGGUGAGGUUAAUAACCUCAUCGAUUGACGUUACCCGCAGAAGAAGCACCGGCUAACUCCGUGCCAGCAGCCGCGGUAAUACGGAGGGUGCAAGCGUUAAUCGGAAUUACUGGGCGUAAAGCGCACGCAGGCGGUCUGUCAAGUCGGAUGUGAAAUCCCCGGGCUCAACCUGGGAACGGCAUUCGAAACUGGGAGGCUAGAGUCUUGUAGAGGGGGGUAGAAUUCCAGGUGUAGCGGUGAAAUGCGUAGAGAUCUGGAGGAAUACCGGUGGCGAAGGCGGCCCCCUGGACAAAGACUGACGCUCAGGUGCGAAAGCGUGGGGAGCAAACAGGAUUAGAUACCCGGGUAGUC